GAAAUGAAUCAUGCCACCCUGGGUACACCUGACCUCAUCUCAUCAUGGAAGCUAAGCAGAGUCAUGCCUAUUUAGUAGAUGAAUAGGAGACCACCAGUGAAUACUACAGAUCUCU
rnacentral:rRNA from 1 species